rnacentral:rRNA from 1 species
UACAGAGACUGCAAGCGUUAUUCGGAUUCACUGGGCGUAAAGGGUGCGCAGGCGGCCAAGUGUGUUAGGCGUGAAAGCCUGGGGCUUAACCUCAGAAUUGCACCUAAAACUACAUGGCUAGAGCAUUGGAGAGGGUAGCGGAAUUCACGGUGUAGCAGUGAAAUGCGUAGAUAUCGUGAGGAACACCAGAGGCGAAGGCGGCUACCUGGACAAUUGCUGACGCUCAGGCACGAAAGCGUGGGGAGCAAAAGGG